rnacentral:pre_miRNA from 14 species
AAAGAGAGAUGGGGCACAAGGUGAUGACCUAUGAAUUGACAGCCAGUGAUUUCCAGCCUCUGCCUGUCAGUUCUGUAGGCCACUGCUGCGUUCGUCCUGCUGAGCGU